AGGCAAAGACGGGUAGGGGGUGUGAGAGCAUGGCCCCCCACAAUGGGACUGGAACACGGUCCAUACUCCUACGGGAGGCAGCAGCAGGGAAUAUUGCACAAUGGACGGAAGUCUGAUGCAGCGACGCCGCGUGGAUGAAGAAGGCCCUCGGGUUGUAAAAUCCUUUACAGGGGGAAGAGGAAGGACGGUACCCCUGGAACAAGUGUCGGCUAACUACGUGCCAGCAGCCGCGGUAAGACGUAGGACACAAGCGUUAUCCGGAUUUACUGGGCGUAAAGCGUCUGCAGGCGGACAGGUAAGUUGGGCGUGAAAGCUCCGGGCCCAACCCGGAGAGGUCGUUCAAUACUGCGUGUCUAGAGGGUGUCAGAGGGGAGUGGAAUUUCCGGAGUAACGGGAAAAUGCGCAGAAGAUCGGAAAGAACACCAAUGGCGAAGGCAGCUUCCUUGGGGCAACCCUACUGCUUAGAGACGAAAGCUAUGGGAUCGAACAGGAUUAGAGACCCUGGUAGUCCUAGCCUUAAACGAUGGAUGCUGGAUGUGGGGCCAUAGCGCUCCGUGUCGAAGCGUACGCGUUAAGCAUCCCCCCUGGGGACUACGGCCGCAAGGUUUAAACUCAAACGAAUUGACGGGACCCCGCACAAGCAGCGGAGCGUGUGGUUUAAUUCGAUGCUACACGAAGAACCUUACCUGGGUUUGACAUCUAGGUGGUAGUGAAGCGAAAGCGGAGCGACCCUUCGGGGAGCCUAGACAGGUGCUGCAUGGCUGUCGUCAGCUCGUGCCGUGAGGUGUCGGGUUAAGUCCCGUAACGAGCGCAACCCUUGCCCUCCGUUAUACGUGUCAGAGGGGACUGCCGGCGGUAAGCCGGAGGAAGGUGGGGAUGACGUCAAGUCAGCAUGGCCUUUAUAUCCAGGGCUACACACACGCUACAAUGGCCAGUACAAAGGGCAGCGAAGCCGCGAGGUGGAGCGAAUCCCAGCAAAGCUGGUCGUAGUUCGGAUUGCAGGCUGCAACCCGCCUGCAUGAAGCUGGAGUUGCUAGUAACCGCGCGUCAGCCAUAGUG
rnacentral:rRNA from 1 species